ACUAUGCAUGCAUUAAAUAUUAUAAUACACUAAACAUACCCUUCCUGAUGAAAUAUCAUCCAUUAGAAGGCCCGAAAAAGAAAUAAAUAAAAUAAAAUCGUGAAUUCUUUUCACAAAAUAUCUAAAAGCAUUCUGUUGCUUCGGACAACCGGUGAACACUUUUUUCCAUCCAGCAAACCGCCCUAUCGAUUUUGUAAAGUCGUUUCUUUUUGGAUUUUUUCAUUAAUUCGGUUAGGGUUAGAGUUAGGGUUGAGGUUAGGGUUAGGGGUUAGGGUAGGGGUAGGGUUUGGGUUAGUUACAUAGCCAUUUAACACCUGCGAAAAUGACGCCAGGUCAGUUUGCUGGAUGGAAAAUAGUGCUAACCCGGACAACCAGUUUGCCACUGAUCUCUAUAUACCGUCGUUGGCAUCGUAACAUUCACAGAUCGAUAAAC